rnacentral:lncRNA from 1 species
UCACCACUCGCUGUUCCUUCAGCAUUUAAGCUCUCUGGCAGUGACUCAAUGUUUACAAUCGCAUUAACCUGUGAGGAACGCCGUGGCUGUGUCGAAGAACAAGGCCCCUGCUGGCACCAAGGUAGGUCACGCCUUCCAAUGGAAGGGGAAGCAGUGACAAAGGUGAAAAUCAUGGCGGUAACAGAAGUCAUUUACAGUGCGGAGUCUCCAACCCACAAUCACUGGGCAUCCCAUGGCUUUA